UCGUCGAAGGACUCGAGGCAGUGGUUGUUGUUCUUACUGUCGAUGGGCAGUAGCAGACUGGGCUUCAGCGAUACGGAGCCAUUUUUCGAAGGUCUCACCACAUGUGUCUCCACCUUUUACAGUCUGAAUCUGCCAUAUCAAGAGGAGGCAGCGUGACCAUUUGAAUUCAACCAGAGGUGUCUUGUGGAUAUCAAUCCUGAGAGGGUGACAAGGGUAAAUGACAAGAACAGAAGAAGUACCCCUACCGAGGUUUCCACCUUGCUCAGAAAACUGAUGGACUAUCGUUAAGCCCUCGUCUGAAAAUGAUGAGUAUUUUACACAUACUUUACAAUGGUUGAAAUGUGUCCAGAUGCUAUUUUUACAUUAUUGUUGUAAGUCAUGGGGGUUGUCCAGUUACCUUGAAAGGACUAAUUGAGACCUCGGUGCAAAAAGCUGAAAUUCCUGGCUUUUCCGGGUGCUUAGAGCAAACCAGCAUGAUUUGGCACCAGAUUCAGCGAGCGAAGCACGAGAGGAGAGACCUGCAUGUCGUAGUCAUGGAUCUGGCUAAUGCUUUUGGGUUAGUACCACAUAGUCUUUUAUGGGAGGCUUUUGAUUACUUCAGAGUCCCAGGUAGCAUUAAAAGCCUAUAGCUAAGGCGUACUUUAUGGAUAUUCAACUCUGUUUUACCACGGCAGAAUACACCACAACUUGAGAUUGGCAUUAUGGUGGGAUAUACAAUAUCCCCAUGCUUUCACAAUGGCAAUGGACCCUUUGGGCACAAAUUUCCCCUACAUGAAUCCUAGUAUACCCUAUCACCUAAGCACAAUCACAAAUAAGUAAAGUGAAUGUUACUUGAUUUCCUCCCUGAUUAUCAUUUACACUCUUCCUUGUACUUUACAUUCCUCUAGACAUAAUCUGCCAGGUUAUUCAUUCUCACAUACACACAUGAUACACAAGCCCAAUUCGAUAUUUUUAUUUUCUAUGAUAAUUAUUCUGUAUCUUAUUCAGCCACCUCGAAAUACUACUAGAUAACGUGUCUGCUUUUUAGAUACAUACAUGAUACACGAGCCCAAUGCAAUGUUUUUGUUUUUUUCCGUGAUAAUUCUUCUGUGCCUUAUUCCCUGACCUUUGAAAUAAAAUUUUCGAAAUACUAUUAUAUAACAUGUCUACAUUUUACUAUACAUAUGUGAUGCAGAAGUCUAAUGCAAUGUUUUUGUUUUUCAUGAGAAUUCUUCUUUACCUUAUUCCCUGAUCCUGAAAUAGGAUUAGAGUCAGUCUACAUAUUCCUAAAUCACUACUUACUAUCUUGCUUCAUGUCCCUUUAUUUUUCAAAAAAUAUUUUUUUAACCUGACAUAUAGAAUUUAAAUAAAAUGACUGUUAAACCACAAGUAAUCUAAAUAAUGUUUAACCAUGCACAAAUAAGUUACAUGAAAUACAAUGACUGUUAAACCACAAGUAAGUGAUGUGAAAUAAUAUGAAUGCUUACUAAAAAGUGAUAAAAUAUGUUAAACAAAUAAGUAACUGAUGUGGAAAAAUGGAUUUUUAUCUUUGACAUGAAAUAAAGUGAAUGUUUCAUUAUUUAAUUAUGCUUAGUAUACCAUUACUGGCAUAUGCUUUAGAUAGACAGGACUUUUCCUUCAAAUUUUCAUCUUUGGUGCCAUUAUGCUUGUAGCCUGGACACCAGACUCUCUGACUUUGCAGAGUCUGGCCUAGAUUCAUAGGCAAACGUUUAUUUCCAGGUGGGAAGGCACAGUUUGAGGUUUAAAAUCAUUGGAGUUACUCUGCCGAAGUAAACAAGGGCGAAUCAAGCUAUUCCAGACGGAGUACUGUAGGGAAAAGAAAUCGAGAGGUAGUACAUAGACAGGCGGAGCCAGGCUAAUAUGCUAUUAUAUAUGAAAGAGCUAAGAAAUUGGACCAUUAUUUUCUGUAAUGUAAGGUUGGUGUCUCUAAAACCAGCUUUCUUGUGAAAAUAGUCUAAUGUGGUUAUUAACCAACUUUUUGAAUACAGUUUUGAGAGAGGAUGAACUCAAUAGGCACUUGUUUGUAGAAAGAGAAAGACCUGUUGUAACUAACACGAAGGUCACGUUUUUUUGUUGUUACCCAACAGGAAAAUGAUAAUAACAGAAAUGUAUUGUUAUUGUAGUCUGCCGUUAAACAAGGGGAAGAUCCUGAAAAUCCUGCCAGUUGUUUCCUGUUAGUUUACAGGAAGUUAAUGUUGUUAUUUUACAUUAACUUAGAGUUAACCCUCCUAUUUUGUUUGCGGUCAAAUGUGACCAAUUGACAAUUUCUCUCUUUUCUCUCCAAAAACUCAUUGUUUUGAAAAUGAUCAAAUUUGUUUUGUGUGUUCAGAUGCCCUGUGUUAAAGUCAUGGAGCCUUGGAACA